rnacentral:rRNA from 1 species
GCAGUUGCGCGCUUCUAAGCUAUGGUAGUGGAGCAGCGUAAGGCUCAGUAAAACAUGGUUAACUUGCCCUCGAGACGGGAAUACCCCCGGGAAACUGGGGAUAAAUCCCGAUAGGCGAGAUGGCUUGGAAUGAUAUCUCGUCUAAAAAACGUUAAGACCAUGCUUCUUUUCGUUGCUCGAGGAUAGGACCAUGUCCGAUCAGGCUGUUGGCGAGGUAACGGCUCACCAAACCUAUAACCGGUACGGGCCGUGAGAGCGGGAGCCCGGAGAUGGAUCCUGAGACAAGGAUCCAGGCCCUACGGGGCGCAGCAGGCGCGAAAACUCCGCAAUGCGCGAAAGCGUGACGGGGUCACCCCGAGUGUCACCUGCUGAAGGUAACUUUUCCUCAGUCUAACCAGCUGAGGGUAAUAAGGGGAGGGCAAGUCUGGUGUCAGCCGCCGCGGUAAUACCAGCUCCCCGAGUGGUGAGGACGAUUAUUGGGCCUAAAGCGUCCGUAGCUGGCUUGAUAAGUUUCCCGUUAAAUCCGACGAUCCAAUCGUCGGGCUGCGGGAAAUACUGUUAAGCUAGGAGGCGGGAGAGGCCGGCGGUACUUUUGGGGUAGGGGUGAAAUCCUAUAAUCCCAGGAGGACCACCAGUGGCGAAGGCGACCGGCCAGAACGCACUCGACGGUGAGGGACGAAAGCUGGGGGAGCAAACCGGAUUAGAUACCCGGGUAGUCCCAGCUGUAAACGAUGCGGGCUAAGUGUC